rnacentral:rRNA from 1 species
CCUACGUGAGGCAGCAGUGGGGAAUAUUGCACAAUGGGGGGAACCCUGAUGCAGCAACGCCGCGUGGGUGAAGAAGUACUCCGGUAUGUAAAGCCCUGUCAGCAGGGAAGAAAAUGACGGUACCUGACCAAGAAGCCCCGGCUAACUACGUGCCAGCAGCCGCGGUAAUACGUAGGGGGCAAGCGUUAUCCGGAUUUACUGGGUGUAACGGGAGCGUAGACGGCAAGGCAAGUCUGGAGUGAAAGCCCGUGGCCCAACCACGGGACUGCUUUGGAAACGGUGUUGCUGGAGUGCAGGAGGGGUAAGCGGAAUUCCUAGUGUAGCGGUGAAAUGCGUAGAUAUCGCGCAGAACCCCGAUUGCGAAGGCAGCGUACCGGCUCCACACUGACGCUGAGGCACGAAAGCGUGGGUAUCGAACAGGAUUAGAUACCCCUGUAGUC